CGUGCAGGCGGUUCGGUAAGUUGGACGUGAAAGCUCCCGGCUCAGCUGGGAGAGGUCGUUCAAUACUGUCGGACUUGAGGAUGGUAGAGGGAGGUGGAAUUCCGGGUGUAGUGGUGAAAUGCGCAGAUAUCCGGAGGAACACCAGUGGCGAAAGCGGCCUCCUGGACCAUUCCUGACGCUCAGACGCGAAAGCUAGGGUAGCGAACG
rnacentral:rRNA from 1 species